CCUUCCGAGCAGCUGAGACUCCAGAGACAAGAGAGGUGGCGGAAGUGCGGCCGACUGUCGUCUUUUCAUGCAGACUCUGCCAACAUUGCGCAGCUCGAAGGACUUUGCCAUCCCUGAACCAUGGUCAUUGCAUUAGCUCCAGCCGCUGCCCCUGUCUGGCUGCUCCUUCUCCUAAGGGGGCUUGCUUGUCCAGCAUGGGGAGACAAGAUCAGCUCCCUGCCGAUGGGGCUGAUGGCCUGAUUCGGGAACUGCUGGAGGUGGUCAUUGGUCUCCCAAUGCUGUUGAAAGAAUGGGUGCAGGUGAAAUUCUGUUGUAGCAGAGGAUUCUUUAUAAUCUCAUCACACAAAGUGUGGUCCCUGGGCUGGCAGUAUGAGGAUUACCAGGGAGCUUUUCACGAAUGCAGAAACUCAGGCCCCACCCAGACCUGCUGAUGUGGAAUCUGCAUUUUCACAGGCUCCCUGGGUGACACCUCUGUGCACUGAGGUUUGAGAGGCACUGCUGUGCAUCAUAUCAUUUUCCUGUGUCCCAGGGUGACCUGCUGACACAUGGUGGUGUUGAUUUCCAUACUAUUGAUUUCACAGAUCCGUACUUGCUACAGUGUAUUCCUCAAAGCCUUGUAGCAGAGAUUAUGCAAAAGAAGAGAACGUUUGGGAAACUCUGGGUUAAACCAAAUUAAAAUUAUUUGUUUAUGGCAGGUUUUACAGCAUCUUUAUAAUACCAAUAAGCGUUUUGAUGUCUGUG
rnacentral:lncRNA from 10 species